AUGCAGGUCUGGGAGAUACAGGUUGGAGGCCAGCGCCUCGGCGGCGGACGUGAAGAAAUAGUACCCUGGGACGCCGAGCUCCGCGGCGACGUCGAGCACGAUGCUGCAGAAGAAGUCGACGAUGAGGACGGCCGAGGAGGCGCCGGCGAGGAAGCCACGGAGGUGUGGGAUGGAGAGGCCGGCGACCUCGUAGGUGAUCGCCUCGGGGAGGUCGGAGUCGAGCGGCGGGACCUUGACCUGCGGGAGGCAGUGGAAGGAGAUGGAGGGGUUGGCAGCGGGGGUCGCGUUCCUCAUGCAUGGUGGUGGUGUGUGUGGCGGCGGCAGAGUCCGUGUAUAGAGUGGUACACACGCCGUCGAAAACGUGGCCUUUGCUCCGGCCACGCCCACCUACGCCGUCUUGCCUCGUCGGCUUUGAGCGGCGUCGAUGUGGUUGUUGAUGUAGCAUGCAUGUUUGGGCUUGGCUUGGACGUCGUCGAUGACUUCGUAGGUUUGCCAGAUGUGCGAGGGGUAUGCCUUGUGGGAGUAGAGGAGGAAGAGGAAUGGAUGGACGUGCGACACAUGGUGUGCACACAUCCGUCGAUGACCGCAUACACCGCCGCCAAUAGCGGAGGAAGUCGCCACCUUGCACCGCUCGGCAUGUGUGACACGUGUUCGUGCCGACGAAGAGGGAGGCCGCAAGAUACGCCUAAGCGUGUCCCGGCCGCAGCCGGAUGUUGUCUCCGCCGCCAUAGCUACAACGAGUCAUCGUUGCUCGUCGAGUGCCGUACCGCCUCCAGGGUUACGACGAGUCGUCGUGACUCAUCGAGCGUUGCGCCGCCGCCGACGCGUCGAACGGACCAUGGCGCCUCCAUGGACUGGCAAGAGAGCGGCGAAGGAAACCUCGCGAUGCGGCGAAGCCUCGCCCAGGCGCCGCCGAUGGUGUAG
rnacentral:rRNA from 1 species